GACGAACGCUGGCGGCGUGCUUAACACAUGCAAGUCGAACGGAAAGGCCCUGCUUUUGUGGGGUGCUCGAGUGGCGAACGGGUGAGUAACACGUGAGUAACCUGCCCUUGACUUUGGGAUAACUUCAGGAAACUGGGGCUAAUACCGGAUAGGAGCUCCUGCUGCAUGGUGGGGGUUGGAAAGUUUCGGCGGUUGGGGAUGGACUCGCGGCUUAUCAGCUUGUUGGUGGGGUAGUUGCUUACCAAGGCUUUGACGGGUAGCCGGCGUGAGAGGGUGACCGGCCAGAGUGGGAGUGCGGUAGGGCCGAGACGGGGAAGGGAGGCAAGGGAGGGAAUGAGUGAAGAGUGGGCGGAAGGGGGGGGCAGAGAGUGCGGAGGGGGGAAGACGGGCUGGGGGUUGUACGCCGUGUCCGCGUGUGAAGAGGCGGGAGGGACGUGGAGGGGAAAAGACGGACCGGCUAAGAAGGUGCAAGGAGGGGGGGUAAGAGUGGGAACAGAAAUGGUCAGAGC
rnacentral:rRNA from 1 species